AGGGACAGGCCUUCGCACCACACUGCUUUGCUGAGUGGUACCUUCUCUACCACGUAGUAGCCACGUAAACGUGUUUCACUAGCAAGCCUCCUACUAAACAUUUCAAUGGAAACCUGCUUUAACGAUCUUCUUCGUGACAUGAUUUCUCCAGGAGAACAGAAAAACUCUUUUCAUGGAUCUGAUGGGGGGAGAGUAUGUUUUUUGAAAUAAAACUCGCUCUACCAGACAUGAAUAUGUUAGUAUUACUCUUUGGUACUGACCAUUGUGUAGACUGUGUAGGUAGCAACAGAUUCAGUCUCGGAUUGAUCAUCAUUGUAGCCAUUGCUGUAGAAUAGUUGUCAUCCUGAUUCGCUCUAAGCUAUGUAAAGUAUCGACUGAUGGGAUAUUUGAGUGACAGAAAUUAUAAAUAAAAAAUUAUAGGUAAAAUGUCAGAAAUUAGGAAAAAAUAAAACAAACAAUGGGUUAUAAAACACAAGAUAAGAUUGACAAAUAUGUUGUCCGGAAAUAUUCACUUUGAUAAUAAGCCACCGCUCCAACAACCACCCUUCCGUCCACCUACCCAUUUUGGAAAAAAACAUUAAUUAGUGGUGGUAGUGUCUCGGCCUUGAUAAUUCGGCAAAGUUCAUUCAAAGAGGCCUAGCCCCCUGUAACAGAUUAUUGAAUAUUUUUAUUUUGGAUAUACGAUUGGCAAUAAAAGGCCACUCCAAAUUUUUUUUCCCAUCCAG